rnacentral:rRNA from 1 species
UCGCAGUUAAAAAGCUCGUAGUUGGAUUUCUGGGAAGGCGCCAAUGCUAGCUUCUUGCUUUCGCAACGGCACCUUUCCAUCCUUCUGUUAGCGCCUCUUGGCAUUCAUUUGCUGGUGGCGGGCUCAGAUAUUUUACCUUGAGAAAAUUAGAGUGUUUCAGGCAGGCUACGCCGGAAUACAUUAGCAUGGAAUAAUGGAAUAGGACUGAGGUCUCUUUGUUGGUUUGAGGGACUCCAGUAAUGAUUAAUAGGGACAGUUGGGGGCAUUAGUAUUUAUUAGUCAGAGGUGGAAUUCUAUGAUUUGAUAAAGACUAACUUAUGCGAAAGCAUUUGCCAAGGAUGUUUUCAUUAAUCAAGAACGAAAGUUAGGGGAUCAAAGACGAUCAGAUACCGUCCUAGUCUUAACCAUAAACUAUGCCGACUCGGGAUUGGGAGUGAGAACUAUCCGCUCUCAGCACCGUACGAGAAAAUCAAAGUCUUUGGGUUCUGGGGGGA